GCCAGAUACAUUAUUCUGCUUAAUUGAACAAUAUUUCUUACUUUUGCAAAAUUAGUCGCUUCACAUGAGUGAAGUAGCUCAUCCAAGAUUAUAAAGCAAAUUAAAUGGCAGCUUCAGGAUAAAAAUCAGGUCUUCUAAUUCCCAGGACAACCUUCCUUCUCCCACAUCCUUUGUUCACUUAGAUUUUAAAACCUGCUCAGUUUCCCACAAUCCUGGAGGAAAGGAGAAUCUCUAUAACACACUUAGGCAAAUCCCAUGGAGGAUUGAGGUUACCUCCUGGAAGUGCAACACUGAGAAAACCCUUGGAGUAAAGUGAAGCUAAAAAUGAUAUGCCAAGUCACCAACACCAGUUUUUCAAGGAACAAGAGUUCAUGUCAGCAUCACGUCCAGUUUGGCCUGUUCUUCUUUAAUUAGUCUUGGGCUGGUUUCUGAUUAUGGUCAAAACAUCUGAAGGUCAACAUAAUGUCUUACUCUGGUUUGGGAAGCAGUCAUGAAUCAAAGCCCUCCAGCAACCCCCGAAAUAAGAGUGAUGAUAUGCCUGAACAUAAGAAGGGUGAGGCGUAAAAAUCAACAAUAGCCGAGCCCUGCAGCUUAUUUUCAUGAUCUCAAUGGUAAGUAAUCAUUAUUUUCUUUAUUUGCCAGGAGGAAUCUGUGACUCGUGAGCAAAAGAGAACUGUAGGAUGCUUUUGUGUUGGAAAACACAGACCGAAAAUUUAGCUCUUUCUGGUUAUUUAACAAAACAACUAGGUUGAAUAUUCCUAUCAGCGGACUGUGUGGUUGUACACUGGUCUUGACUGGAAAGUCCACCACUACUACUAUGUUUACGGGAGUCCUACUCAUUCUCCUAGGUCCAUCUCACAUCUCACGCUACCCAGAGACGCCAUCCCAAGUGUCUCAGCCCAGGCUCAUCUCAUUUUUCUGAGCAGCCCCUACGGUACUUUUACGUAGGAUAUAAUUCAACAAUAUUUAGAUACUGCUUAAUAGAUCUCACUAACUGCUUUGUGAAUCCUGUUUCUCCAACAGAUUAUAAGGUACUCAAAGCCCAGAAUCAUGUUCCCAGUGCUGCUUCCUACUGUACAUGCUGCAGGAAAAAGAAAUGUCAGUAUACCACCAGAUCAAAAUACUCUGUCUAUCUAAAAAGGACCAAGCCCAGUUGCCCAGAGGAAGAAAAAAACAAUCUGUUGUGGUAGACUGAAGAAGCAAGAAGUUAUACGGUCAGAUUCAUUCACAACUGACAAAACUGUUCAUUGUGCAGACCUUUUCUUGAAUGCUUGAAUCUGUGGUUAGGUAGAAGGACUUCUCUUCCCCUGCCUUUAUUUAUUCUCUCUUUAUGUCAUGCUUCAGAGCUUUCUCCCUAGACAAUAAGUCCUGUGUCUGGUUAUUCUGAGGCAAGAACAUAAUAAAUGCUUACUCUUUUUGUGGAAAUACUGGACACUUCAGGGAAAGUGCAUUUGACAUGGUGGCCAUGUCUAAAACAUAGUCAUAUCAUUAAUAUCAAUAAUGU
rnacentral:lncRNA from 1 species